rnacentral:lncRNA from 1 species
GGAGGACGGACAGCAUUACGGGUUGGGGUGAUGGGGAAGGGAAGAAAGGGAGCAGGAAAGAGGAAAUAGGAGCGGGGAGUGUCUAUAGGUACAGAUUGGGUGAUGGGGAAGGAAGAAAAGGAGCAGGAAAGAGGAAAUGGGAGCGAGGAGUGUCCAUAGGUACAGAUUGGGUGAUGGGGAAGGGAAGAAGGGCAGCAGGAAAGAUAGGAAAUAGGAGCAAGGAGUCUAUAGGUACAGAUUGGGUGAUGGGGAAGGGAAAAAGGGCAGCAGAAAUAGGAAAUAGGAACACGGAGUCACUAUAGGCACAAAUUGGGGUGAUGGGGGAAGGGAAGAAGUGCAGCAGAAAUAGGAAAUGGGAGCGAGGACUUUCCAUAGGUACAGAUUGGGAUGAUGGGGAAGGAAGAAAAGGAGCAGGAAAGAGGAAAUAGCGAGGAGUGUCCAUAGGUACAGAUUGGGAUGAUGGGGAAGGAUGAAAAGGAGCAGGAAAGAGGAAAUGGGAGCGAGGAAUCACUAUAG